CUUCUGCCAUGACUGUAAGCUUCCUGAGGCCUCCCUAGAAGCCCAGCAGAUGCCAGCACCAUGCUUAUGGAAAAGCCUGAAGAACUAUGAACCAAGGAUGCACCUCCAACAAAACAAUUCUUACAUGGAAUCCUAGAGUCUUUGGAACGUGGUUUGAACACCACCAGCUUUGAGAAGGAAGAGAAAAUCCAGAAGUCAGAAGUGGACCAUGUUGAUCAGGAUCCUACACCUUCCAGUAUUCAAAAUUCCAAGCAUGUGGUUUGGAUGGAAUUCACUCCGUUCUUGUCUUUGGUAGUGGGCCCUGAUUGGCUUAAGCCAGUAGGCAUAUCUAAUCUCCAGGCCACACCAAUUGGUUCAGGGUUGAACACACAACCCAAUUUGGGCAAAUUAGAGCUGCAAGAAUAAAUUUCAAAUUGUUUUGUGCUUGACUGGUAUCUGAAAACACAUAACCCCAGGAGCUGCUGAUGGUUAUAUUGUGACAAUAAUGGAGGAGACCCACAGAAAUGGAGCCAGCACUGAAGAAGUGGCAAUGAGAACCGAAGGCAGUCAUCCCAUCAUUUGAGCCACUGUAUCAAGAGUAGUCUGAUGCUAGCCUAACUUCUCAGUUACAUGACAAUAAAUUGUCUUUACUCUUCAA
rnacentral:lncRNA from 10 species